CGUGUAGGCGGCAGGAUAAGUCAGACGUGAAAGCCCUGAGCUUAACUCAGGAAGUGCAUUUGAAACUGUCCCGCUUGAGUAAGGGAGAGGGAAGUGGAAUUCCUGGUGUAGAGGUGAAAUUCGUAGAUAUCAGGAGGAACACCGGUGGCGAAGGCGACUUCCUGGCCCUAUACUGACGCUGAGACGCGAGAGCGUGGGUAGCAAACAG
rnacentral:rRNA from 1 species